UACGUAGGGUGCGAGCGUUGUCCGGAAUUAUUGGGCGUAAAGGGCUCGUAGGCGGUCUGUUGCGUCGGGAGUGAAAACUCAGGGCUUAACCCUGAGCCUGCUUCCGAUACGGGCAGACUAGAGGUAUGCAGGGGAGAACGGAAUUCCUGGUGUAGCGGUGAAAUGCGCAGAUAUCAGGAGGAACACCGGUGGCGAAGGCGGCGUUCUGGACUGCAACUGACACUGAGGAACGAAAGCCAGGGGAGCAAACGGG
rnacentral:rRNA from 1 species